rnacentral:rRNA from 1 species
AGCAGCCGCGGUAAUUUCAGCUCCAAUAGCGUAUAUUAAAGUUGUUGCAGUUAAAAAGCUCGUAGUUGAAUUUCGGGGUUAGUAGGUUGGUCAUGCCUCUGGUAUGUACUGGUCUCACUGAUUCCUCCUUCCUGAUGAACCUUAAUGCCAUUAAUUUGGUGUUUUGGGGAAUUUGGACUGUUACUUUAGAAAAAAUUAGAGUGUUUAAAGCAAGCUAACGCUUGAAUACAUUAGCAUGGAAUAAUGAAAUAGGACGUUCGAUCCUAUUUUGUUGGUUUCUAGGAUUGACGUAAUGAUUAAUAGGGAUAGUUGGGGGCAUUAGUAUUCAAUUGUCAGAGGUGAAAUUCUUGGAUUUAUUGAAGACUAACUACUGCGAAAGCAUUUGCCAAGGAUGUUUUCAUUAAUCAAGAACGAAAGUUAGGGGAUCGAAGACGAUCAGAUACCGUCGUAGUCUUAACCAUAAACUAUGCCGACUAGGGAUCGGAUGAUGUUAAUUUUUUAAUGUACUCAUUCGGCGCCU